GACACACGUGCUACAGAGAACAACAACAACUAGACAUUGAAUGAAAGGGAAACUCCAGAAACGAAGAGGAAAUUUUGAGCACAGUUCUGUCAUCUCUCCCUUCGUGUUUCUUCUGUUAACCCUAAUUUCCCAACUGUUUCUCUCACUUUCUCCCACUUAUCUUAAACAAUCUUAAAUAUUUGAUUUUUGUGCAUUUUUUACGACUUUGAAGAACGUUGGAUAGCAAUAUUUAGGGUUUAAGAAGGAUCAAAUAGUCCAUCAUCACUGUCUUUUCAUCCUCAAAUUGCUCAAUUUGGGUAUCCAUGAAGGUGAAAGGGUUAGCCUGUUAUGCUGAACCUGUGGGGAGGAUUGUUUCUGUGGAGAGAAUGUGGUGGUGAGUUUCUCAAGUAUUGCACCUGUUAAUCACAUACAUUGCAUGUGACCCACCUUUAGACAAAAGGGGAACCGAUUGUUAUCCUCCUCCAUGGCAUCACUAGAGCAACCACUAAAGAAGCAAAAGCUCUGUGAGACAGAGGAUUGCUCCGUCUCUUUGUUAUCCCAGGAAGAAAUUGUGAGAAAGAAACAAAACAAAGAGGAAAUCAGGAGUCUGUAUGAGUGCUACAGGCGAAUUAAGUUUUGUAUCACUCAUAAAGAUACACGUUUCAUGCCCGACUUUGAACAGGCAUAUCUCUCACUCAUUACUGCUUCUAGAGGGUGUACAAGUGUACAGCGUAUUGUUGCUGAACUCAUCCCGCGCUAUGCACUGUUCUGCCCAACAGCUCUUGAAGCUGCCACAAGAGUUUCUAUUAAUAUGUAUAAUUGGAGCUUAUCCGUGAUUCAAAAAGAAGAAGAUUAUGAUGGUGUUGCAUUUCAUACUGCCAAAUCCUGUAUUUUUGGGCUGGUAGAUAUUUGUUGUGCUGCUUCGUCGGAAACACCAGCAUCAUCUGUUAUCGGAGGCAUCUGCUCUGCAGUUUUCCUGAAUGCCCUGACUUUCCUCAUCAACUCGUUUGAGGGGAAGAACAUCUUUGAAAUUGGUGGCGAGGGCAUUGUAAAGGUGCAAGACAAUUUGGAGUUUUUCUCUAAAUUGAGGCAAAAUGUAGCAGAUGAAGAUGAGUCGACCUUGGAUUCACUAUUUAAGUUCCGAGCAUUUAGUCUGCUCAGAAUUUUCUUUUGUCGUCCAAAGAAUAUACUUGCAGCUUGUUUUGAUCUCUUCAAAUCCAGUGGAACAGAUGCAGAUGCUUUUAGAGGAGGUUCAUACUUUCUAAGGCAAGUUACCACCCAGAUUGGUGCUGCUGAUGAAACUCGUGCAAGGGAGAACACAACUGAAUUGGCUCGCUCAUCUACAGGUUCGAUUAAGGAAGGUAGUGAAGGAAUUGGGAUCAAUGAAGAUAUGUUGGUUUCUGAUGAAAAGCUUAAAUCAAAAGGCACAUCUCUUACAAAAAACUGCUUCUUGGGAAUGGCACUUGACAGUGACCCGUCCUUAAGGGAUUGGAUUUUCUCAAAUUAUAAUAAGAUAUGUAAGUCUGUGUCUUCUGAGGUUGCAUCAGAGAUUGCUGAUGCUUUUGAAGGAAUCUUUGGAUCUUUCUCCAAACUUGUCAAGGAAGUAGUUGGUAAAGAAGACAGUGAUGAAAAUUCUAAGUUAUCAAACAAUAACAGAAAGUGUGUCGUACCUGCGAUUUCGAAUCAACACGAGGAUUCUGUUGAACAAUCUAGAACUGGAAGGGAUUCAAGAAUUCAUGAAUCAUACGCUGGCAGCACACUUGCCGAGUAUAGGGAGCAAGCUAAUGCUGUUUCAAGUCAGCCUCUGAAGUCCGGCAACUCAGUUACAUCUGAGCCUGAUAUCAAAUUAAUGAAUGAGUACUCAAAUUAUGAUUGUCAAGGCUUGAAAUCCACAACAGGUAUUGAGAUGCGAGAUAGCAGUGAUAGGCCUUACAUGCAAAACAACUUAGUUGGCCAAGAUUUGCCUUCACCUGCAAAGGGGAAGCCAUUAAACAUCGGGAAUGAGGGAUUUGAAGCCGGUAAUUAUCUUUGUCAAGUUGACAUUCAGCGUUCAAAUUCAGACCUAGGUUUCGCACUGACCAGAUCGAAUGUUUUAUCUUCUGCAGAACAGUAUUCAGCUGUACAGUCUUCAACUGGGCACAAUGCUUGGUACUAUGAUGGGGAUCCCACAGCCAUGGAUGUGUUCUCAGCUUCUGCCCAACUUUGGUUGGGUUCUCUUGGUCCCGAUGCAUCAGAAUCUGCUGUCAGGUUUCAAUUAGAGCAGUUUGGUCCUAUAGAAAGAUUUUUGUUCUAUCCUGUCAAAGAUUUUGCUUUAGUAGAGUAUAGGAACAUUAUAGAUGCUAUAAAAGCUCGAGCAUAUAUGCGUGGAUCUUCCUCCUGGGGUAAUUUUUUGCGAGUUAAGUUCUUAGAUGUAGGAUUAGGGAGUAGGGGUUCUAUCAAUGGUGUGGCAGUUGGUGCUUGUUGCCAUGUUUAUAUUGGAAAGGUUAGCCAGUGGACGAAAGACGAGAUUUUGCAUGAGUUAGCAAGAGUUGGUUUCAGGAUUCCUUGCAUGGUUACGGAUCUGACCAGUGAAAGUGCCCUGCUGAUGGAGUUUGAGACUGCCGAGGAAGCCGCUGCUGUGAUGGUACUUUUAAGACAGUACCGUAAGGAAAGUGGGCUCCAUGGACAAAUGAACCAAGAUGUUACAGGGUCUCAUAUGGAUGUUCGAUAUGCUCCAACUCCUAUUCAUGAAGAAUUUAGAAACAGUAAUCCAGGAAGCAUGGUUAGUAACAUGAGUGUGUCACCCCAUGUUGCAACUGUUCAUGAUAGCCCAAGGAUGUCUCAGUUAUCUUCACUGCUUUCAUCUCUAUCUUCCAAGUACAAUAUCAGUCAGAGUUCAAAUUCUUUUGGUGGUCAUAUCCCCGGAAACUGUGUUGCAACUGGAGCAAGGGAUGAAGAUGCAUUUCCAUCAAACACCAUCUGGAUCAGCUCGUCAGAUGGUAAUUCCCGGUACUUGCCAGAUGAUGAGUUAAUGUCUGUUUGCCGUCAUGCUGUUGGAAGUUUUGGGUCUGUUAUUAGAGUGACAAGAACAAGUGUGCAGAUUGGUUCUUGUUGGUUUGUUGAACUCAGCAGCGUAGAUGCAGCAGUUACUGCUUUGAAAACUCUUCGAGGUUGUCCAGUAUCGCUCUUUCAAAUAGAGUUCAGUCAACCAGGGCAUCACCAUCCAACAUCUUUCUUUAGUCAGUCUGAGAACUCUGGUCAUGAAAUUGUAUCCUCAAGUAUUCAACUGGAUAAUCAUGGAACAAUGUUGCAGAGUGGACAUCCAUUUCAGUCUAACUGGACAGCUUCUGGAUAUACAGACACACUGGAUAAUAGGAUGGCUGUGGAAUUUUCACAUCCAGAACAUCGAGGUGUCUCCCAUGCCAAUAAUGAGCAGGUCUGGGUGUACAACAAACCUGAGUCUGGGCCCCAGCAGUUUUUGGGACAAGGAAUGACGUAUCCGCAGGCGCCCAUAAUUAUGCAACCUCCUCAUGUUGCGUCUCCGUUCGUGCGAUCAAUUUAUCCCGUUCCUAACAAUUCCUGGGACCCACAUGGUUUAAACAGUCCUUUGCCAUUGGCUCACAUGUCAGCUGGCACACUCCCCUCCCCAUUUUUACCUGCUUCUGUGACUCCUCUUGCACAUAUAUCUGGAAACUCACUGCAGCAUUUUGAUCAGGCAGUUGGCAUGCCUACUGCACCACCUUUAUCAUCACCGCCCCCUCCCCCUCCUGAUAUGCCGCCUCCAUCUCCCCCUCCCUUGCCAGUUGCUCAGCCUCCCCCAAGCUCCCCACCUCCGGUUCAGCCUUCUUUUGAGGCUUCAAUUGAGAACAGUACACAGUGCUUGGAAUAUCAGUGGCAGGGUAUCAUAUGUAAAAGUGGCGUUCAUUAUUGCACAGUCUAUGCAGUUACAGAAGACUUGGAUGCUUGCAAGUACUCAAAUGGCGUAAAUGAGCCUGCCGAAUGGCCAGCUAAAUUAGAUGUGACAAAACGUACAGAUUUUCAGCAUGUAAAAUCGACGUUUUCUAGCACCCCUUCUCAUAAACGUGAGGUCUGUCGGUUGUUUCCAGUCUCCACCAGCGAUUAUAAGGGUUUCCAGGAUUUCGUAACCUACUUGAAGCAGAGGGAAUGUGCAGGUGUCAUCAAGAUUCCAGCUGUAAAAUCAAUGUGGGCAAGAUUACUCUUCAUUCUUCCUUACUCGCCUGAAACAUGCUCCUUGGUUGGCAUGUCCCCUCAUCCAACUGAAUGCCUAAUUGCUCUUACUUUGCCUAAGGAAACAAAUUUUGAAUGGGUAUGAACACUUUCAGUGGAGGACGAAGUCCUAUGUGCUCUUCCUUGCUAAACGAAGCAAGUUUUGAAUAGCUAUGUCAAGCUCUACAGCCAAAGAAAUGAUAAUGCAGGAUUCAUUCACGUAAGGCACAGAACGGAGAGCUCGUUUCUUAGCCUCAUGCUUACUGCAAAUUUGGCCUUCUCUCAAUUUCGUGGACAAGAUCACAGAUUCACAGACAAUAAUACGGCGCUGUGCUCGUGUCCUCAAGAUUAUUUGCCCUGUUCCCAUAAUAACAAAGUUCAAGUUCGAAUCCUAAGAGCAACUGCAGUGGACGACCAAACCCAAAAAUAUAGUCUAGUAACGCGACACAGUCGGACGGAUUAAAGAAAAAACUGGAUCAAAACCAAAUCCCAGAUUAUAUUUGGUCCGGGACCAAGACCAAAAUCAAAUAUAGUCGAGCCGUAUAAUGUACGUUUGUCAUUAGGCGUAGUUAUAAAAUGCGCUUCACAUGAAACGGAUGUAUAGUCCUCGUUCCAUGAUGAGGCAUGUAUAUAAACUACGCCUCAAUGGAGCGGUUGUGAAAUGUACCCGCGAUUAGGCGUUGUUGAAACGUACGCCUCAUCCCAGGCGUGGACUAUAAGUACGCCCCAAUCAGGCGUUCAUAAAGUCACCGUCCCACAUCCGGCGUGCAUAAAGUUCACGCCUGAUGAUAAACUCUCUGUGUAUCGUGUAAAUAUGACUGUAUGGGUGGCCCACCAUUAUACGCCGGUGAAGAACAAUCCUGACUC